AGAAUCAACGCUGGCGGCGUGCCUAACACAUGCAAGUCGAACGGGAAAGUGGAGCAAUCCAUGAGUAUAGUGGCGACCGGGUGAGUAACACGUGACUAACCUACCCUUGAGUGGGGGAUAACCUCGGGAAACCGGGGCUAAUACCGCAUAAAAUCUUCGGGAUGAGAAGCUGGAGAUCAAAGGAGCAAUUCGCUUUUGGAGGGGGUCGCGGCUGAUUAGCUAGUUGGCGGGGUAACGGCCCACCAAGGCGACGACGGGUAGCCGGCCUGAGAGGGCGACCGGCCACACUGGGACUGAGACACGGCCCAGACUCCUACGGGAGGCAGCAGUGGGGAAUAUUGCACAAUGGGGGAAACCCUGAUGCAGCGACGCCGCGUGCGGGAUGAAGGCCUUCGGGUUGUAAACCGCUUUCAGCAGGGCGAAGUUUAAGACGGUACCUGCAGAAGAAGCGCCGGCUAACUACGUGCCAGCAGCCGC
rnacentral:rRNA from 1 species